ACCAGCGUAGCUCAACGGAUGAGCGCCUCGCUUCGAACGAGGAGGAUGGGGGUUCGAAACCCUCCGCUGGUA
rnacentral:tRNA from 1 species